rnacentral:piRNA from 1 species
UCAGAACGUGCAUUGCAACAGACUUCUUGU